rfam:Trichoderma atroviride IMI 206040 TRIATcontig_27, whole genome shotgun sequence.
CUCCGGGUGGUCUAGUUGGUUCAUGGCGUUCGACUGUAAUUGUUCAGGUUAUCGAAAAGUCAGCGGUUCGAUUCCGCUUCUGGAGA